UGGCCAACCCUCCUAUUGCUGCUCCUUGUUCUUAUACCGAUUCGAUCUGUGCUGCAGCUUGGCUUUGGAAAAGCUAGAUGAAAAUAAGGAGAGAAGGGAGGGAGGAGGUCGUGGUCUCCUUGAGUGGAGAUAUGUAUUGUGUCUUGACCGGUCAAGAAACACCUGUCAAUAUACAUCGGCACCACAUGGGCUACGACUGCUAUCGAAUCCUUGAAGCCAAAGCUAAAGAGAAUGCUCCAUCACCAGCUUUCCCCUUGCAAGCCGACCUAUGUGUCCAGCUGAGUUGAAGAUAAUGCAAAAAUUUGAAGGUGACUGAAAAAUCUGAAGACAGGGUGUGGAGAGGAAUUGCGUUCAGAAAAUUUAUAACUAAAACCGCUCGCUUAGCUAUAUCGUCAAAUGCAGAAUAAUUACAAGCUGAUCUAAUUGAUGAUUUUUAUCGUUUCGGGUUUGGGAAAGGUAAAUAUGUUGGAUUUAAGCAUAAAUAAAUUUUCUUACUUAGAAAACCUUGGAUUUAUCAUAUUUUUAAGAUGAAGGAAAUCAUCAUUGACAAGUUUUAUAUAUCAGCAUUGGUGGUAGCUUAAACCCUGUACAACAUUGUUUAGAAUAAUAUCAGUUCAGUUAUGGUAAUUAGAUCAAAUAUGAUUGUGUGCCGUCGCAACAUGAUACUUGCUAUUGGGAGUAUGAUUUUCCAUGCCACCUUGCAACUUCUGUAAGUUUUCUCUUAAAUUGAUAGUCUUUUAUGUUUAUG